rnacentral:rRNA from 1 species
AGUGAACGCCGGCGGUAGGCCUAACACAUGCAAGUCGAACGGCAGCACAGUAAGAGCUUGCUCUUACGGGUGGCGAGUGGCGGACGGUUGAGGAAUACAUCGGAAUCUACUUUUUCGUGGGGGCUAACGUAGGGAAACUUACGCUAAUACCGCAUACGACCUACGGGUGAAAGCAGGGGAUCUUCUGACCUUGCGCGAUUGAAUGAGCCGAUGUCGGAUUAGCUAGUUGGCGGGGUAAAGGCCCACCAAGGCGACGAUCCGUAGCUGGUCUGAGAGGAUGAUCAGCCACACUGGAACUGAGACACGGUCCAGACUCCUACGGGAGGCAGCAGUGGGGAAUAUUGGACAAUGGGCGCAAGCCUGAUCCAGCCAUACCGCGUGGGUGAAGAAGGCCUUCGGGUUGUAAAGCCCUUUUGUUGGGAAAGAAAAGCAGCAGGUUAAUACCCCGCUGUUCUGACGGUACCCAAAGAAUAAGCACCGGCUAACUUCGUG